GACGAACGCUGGCGGCGUGCUUAACACAUGCAAGUCGAACGGAAAGGCCCUGCUUUUGUGGGGGGCUCGAGUGGCGAACGGGUGAGUAACACGUGAGUAACCUGCCCUUGACUUUGGGAUAACUUCAGGAAACUGGGGCUAAUACCGGAUAGGAGCUCCUGCUGCAUGGUGGGGGUUGGAAAGUUUCGGCGGUUGGGGAUGGACUCGCGGCUUAUCAGCUUGUUGGUGGGGUAGUGGCUUACCAAGGCUUUGACGGGUAGCCGGCCUGAGAGGGUGAGCGGCCACAUUGGGACUGAGAUACGGCCCAGACUCCUACGGGAGGCAGCAGUGGGGAAUAUUGCACGAUGGGCGGAAGCCUGAUGCAGCAACGCUGCGUGCGGGAUGACGGCCUUCGGGUUGUAAACCGCUUUCGCCUGUGACGAAGCGUGAGUGACGGUAAUGGGUAAAGAAGCACCGGCUAACUACGUG
rnacentral:rRNA from 1 species